rnacentral:rRNA from 1 species
AGAGUUUGAUCCUGGCUCAGGAUGAACGCUGGCGGCGUGCCUAAUACAUGCAAGUCGAACGCGAAAGCCCCUUCGGGGGUAAGUAGAGUGGCGUCCGGGUGAGUAACACGUAGGUAAUCUACCUCUGGGUGGGGAAUAACGUCUCGAAAGAGACGCUAAUACCGCAUAAUGCAGCGGCACCUAAUGGUGAAUAGUUGUUAAAGCGGGGGACCCUUCGGGGCCUCGUGCCUGGAGAGGAGCCUGCGGCAGAUUAGCUAGUUGGUAGGGUAACGGCCUACCAAGGCGACGAUCUGUAGCUGGUCUGAGAGGACGGCCAGCCACACUGGCACUGACACACGGGCCAGACUCCUACGGGAGGCAGCAGUGGGGAAUUUUGGGCAAUGGGCGCAAGCCUGACCCAGCAACGCCGCGUGAGGGAGGAAAUCCUUCGGGAUGUAAACCUCAUAAGCAAGGGAAGAGCGCGAAGGGGUGAAUACCCCCUUCGUCCGACGGUACCUUGCGUAAGCCACGGCUAACUACGUGCCAGCCGCCGCGGUAAUUC